AUUGAACGCUGGCGGCAGGCCUAACACAUGCAAGUCGAGCGGAUGAAGGGAGCUUGCUCCUGGAUUCAGCGGCGGACGGGUGAGUAAUGCCUAGGAAUCUGCCUGGUAGUGGGGGAUAACGUCCGGACACGGGCGCUAAUACCGCAUACGUCCUGAGGGAGAAAGUGGGGGAUCUUCGGACCACACGCUAUCAGAUGAGCCUAGGUCGGAUUAGCUAGUUGGUGGGGUAAAGGCCUACCAAGGCGACGAUCCGUAACUGGUCUGAGAGGAUGAUCAGUCACACUGGAACUGAGACACGGUCCAGACUCCUACGGGAGGCAGCAGUGGGGAAUAUUGGACAAUGGGCGAAAGCCUGAUCCAGCCAUGCCGCGUGUGUGAAGAAGGUCUUCGGAUUGUAAAGCACUUUAAGUUGGGAGGAAGGGCAGUAAGUUAAUACCUUGCUGUUUUGACGUUACCAACAGAAUAAGCACCGGCUAACUUCGUG
rnacentral:rRNA from 1 species